UACGUAGGGGGCAAGCGUUAUCCGGAUUUACUGGGUGUAAAGGGAGCGUAGACGGAAUGGCAAGUCUGAUGUGAAAGGCAGGGGCUCAACCCCUGGACUGCAUUGGAAACUGUCAGUCUUGAGUACCGGAGGGGUAAGCGGAAUUCCUAGUGUAGCGGUGAAAUGCGUAGAUAUUAGGAGGAACACCAGUGGCGAAGGCGGCUUACUGGACGGUAACUGACGUUGAGGCUCGAAAGCGUGGGGAGCAAACAGG
rnacentral:rRNA from 1 species